rnacentral:tRNA from 1 species
AAGAAUUUAGCUUAAAUUAAAAGCGUUUGACUUGCAUUCUAUUGAUGUGGGGUUAAGUCUCGCAGUCCUUA